rnacentral:rRNA from 1 species
UGGGGAAUUUUGGACAAUGGGCGAAAGCCUGAUCCAGCAAUGCCGCGUGUGUGAAGAAGGCCUUCGGGUUGUAAAGCACUUUUGUCCGGAAAGAAAUCCUUGGCUCUAAUACAGUCGGGGGAUGACGGUACCGGAAGAAUAAGCACCGGCUAACUACGUGCCAGCAGCCGCGGUAAUACGUAGGGUGCAAGCGUUAAUCGGAAUUACUGGGCGUAAAGCGUGCGCAGGCGGUUUGCUAAGACCGAUGUGAAAUCCCCGGGCUCAACCUGGGAACUGCAUUGGUGACUGGCAGGCUAGAGUAUGGCAGAGGGGGGUAGAAUUCCACGUGUAGCAGUGAAAAUGCGUAGAGAUGUGGAGGAAUACCGAUGGCGAAGGCAGCCCUCUGGGCCAAUACUGACGCUCAUGCACGAAAAGCGUGGGGAGCAAACAGGAUUAGAUACCCUGGUAGUCCACGCCCUAAAACGAUGUCAACUAGUUGUUGGGGGAUUCAUUUCCUUAGUAACGUAGCUAACGCGUGAAGUUGACCGCCUGGGGAGUACGGUCGC